rnacentral:misc_RNA from 1 species
UGGGGUUAUGUCAGUUUGGA